rnacentral:rRNA from 1 species
UACGUAGGGUGCAAGCGUUGUCCGGAAUUAUUGGGCGUAAAGAGCUCGUAGGCGGUUUGUUGCGUCGGCUGUGAAAUCCCGAGGCUCAACCUCGGGUCUGCAGUCGAUACGAGCAAACUAGAGUGUUGCAGGGGAGACUGGAAUUCCUGGUGUAGCGGUGAAAUGCGCAGAUAUCAGGAGGAACACCGGUGGCGAAGGCGGUUCUCUGGGAAUGUCCUGACGCUGAGGAGCGAAAAGUGUGGGGGAGCGAACAGG